AUGGGAAACGGUCCUAGCUCUCUCUUUUACUGUUCCUAUUUGCAAAGCUUCGUAGACCGCAUCAACACCAACGAGAAGCUUCCAUGUUCUCUCUUUGAAGCAAGCAAGGAUUCUUUUCUCUCCUCUGUUGCAAGUUUUCCGGAGGCUAGUUUGAGUAUUUCCCAUCAACAUAUUGGUGUAUCCUUCAGUCUUCUGUGUUGGUAA